CAACUUAUCUCCGCAGGUUCCCUGCUGCCUCCGUCCUCGCUGCCUCCACCCUCGCUGCCUCCAUCCUCGCUGCCUCCACCCUCGCUGCCUCCGUCCUCGCUGCCUCCACCUGCAGCCUCCUGGUCAGUGUCGGUCCCCCGGCUGGUGGUGCACCUGUUGGUGGGAGCCCCUUACCUGCUGUCCACCAUCUUACUGGGCCUCGUUUGCAGGGACAAGAACAGAGCUCGGACGGCAGCGCAGAGAAGAGGAAGCAACGUCAUCAUGGAAACAGUUGCAUAGACCCUCAAACUGGUCAAACUGGAAACGUCACAGCGCUUAGCGCUGGUUUACGGGUCACCUGUGGUGAGAUUAUUGCUCUGAAACAAGUGCCUCUUCUAAGGAAACAGGAAACAUUGGGCCACUUAAAAAAAAACCACAGGCAGCCGGAUGGAGCUCAGUGAACAGAGACGUGUGCGUUUGAGGUGUAAAUGUAUUAAAAAGUGUUUUUUGGAUAAAUGGAAACUUUUGUGUGUUUUUUUGGGUUAAAAGGAGUUCAGAUUAAACUUUAGAAAGGAG
ensembl:lncRNA